rnacentral:rRNA from 1 species
AGUGAACGCUGGCGGUAGGCCUAACACAUGCAAGUCGAACGGCAGCACAGUAAGAGCUUGCUCUUACGGGUGGCGAGUGGCGGACGGGUGAGGAAUACAUCGGAAUCUACUUUUUCGUGGGGGAUAACGUAGGGAAACUUACGCUAAUACCGCAUACGACCUACCGGUGAAAGCAGGGGAUCUUCGGACCUUGCGCGAUUCAAUGAGCCGAUGUCGGAUUAGCUAGUUGGCGGGGUAAAGGCCCACCAAGGCGACGAUCCGUAGCUGGUCUGAGAGGAUGAUCAGCCACACUGGAACUGAGACACGGUCCAGACUCCUACGGGAGGCAGCAGUGGGGAAUAUUGGACAAUGGGCGCAAGCCUGAUCCAGCCAUACCGCGUGGGUGAAGAAGGCCUUCGGGUUGUAAAGCCCUUUUGUUGGGAAAGAAAAGCAGCAGGUUAAUACCCCGCUGUUCUGACGGUACCCAAAGAAUAAGCACCGGCUAACUUCGUG